GUUUGUGUGUAGAUGGUGUUCAGCACCAGGGACAGGUGUGUUUGUGUGGAUCGUGUUCAGCACCAGGGACAGGUGUGUUUGUGU
rnacentral:pre_miRNA from 1 species